GAAAGUACCAAAAGUAGUAAACAAGGCCAAUCAGAAAGCACCAAAAGUAGUAAAUAAGGUCAAUCAGAAAGUACCAAAAGUAGUAAAUAAGAUCAAUCAGAAAGUACCAAAAGUAGUAAAUAAGGUCAAUCAGAAAGUACCAAAAGUAGUAAAUAAGGCCAAUCAGAAAGUACCAAAAGUAGUAAAUAAGGCCAAUCAGAAAGUACCAAAA